AUUGAACGCUGGCGGCAUGCCUUACACAUGCAAGUCGAACGGCAGCACGGGAGCAAUCCUGGUGGCGAGUGGCGAACGGGUGAGUAAUAUAUCGGAACGUGCCCAGUCGUGGGGAUAACGUAGCGAAAGCUACGCUAAUACCGCAUACGAUCUAUGGAUGAAAGCGGGGGAUCGCAAGACCUCGCGCGAUUGGAGCGGCCGAUAUCAGAUUAGGUAGUUGGUGAGGUAAAGGCUCGCCAAGCCGACGAUCUGUAGCUGGUCUGAGAGGACGACCAGCCACACUGGGACUGAGACACGGCCCAGACUCCUACGGGAGGCAGCAGUGGGGGAAUUUUUGGGACAAUGGGCGCAAGCCUGAUCCAGCAAUGCCGCGUGCAGGAUGAAGGCC
rnacentral:rRNA from 1 species